UAUAAGGUGUACUAUUCCAAGAAAAAGAACUCCAAACCAUAAUGUAUCCUCCACCGUGUUUUUUGCUUUUGUAGUGAGUCUAGUAUCAAAACUUUUAUUUAGAAAACGAUAAACUUAUUGUUUAAAAUAUGAACUAAAUCAAUUAAACUUGGAUUCAUGACUCUAAAGUACUCUUCUGGAAGAAAUUAUUAAAAUUUAAAGUCAAUCGGAAAACAAAUUGUCGAUUUUUUGAUUUCUUUUCUUCAUUUCUUCUUCACAAAGAAGCGUGUACUUAGUUUUUGCCACAAUUUGUUUUAUUAUAUAAUUUAUAAUAAACGUUUAACAUGCCUACAGUACGGAGAAGAAAUAAUUUUAGCCAAUAAAGCGUUUGAUAAAGAUAGAAUAGUGGCCCUGUAUGAGCAGAAAUUUCGAACAGAAAUGAGAAUAUUGUAAUGCUUUUUUGGCAAUCAUGGAGUGAAGAGGGCAGAAGAGGUAGAGCAAGAGCUUUCAGAAGACCCAGAAAUACCACAGGGUCACAAAACGUCGUCUUAGAUUAUUGGUUCUAAAGGACAGAAUGAGUUCAACGCUGAUGAUUGCCGUUGAAGGUGUCAACUGGAGUAUGGAACGUCAACAGUGAGAUGAGGAAUGGAAUCACAUUGUUUUUAGUGAUGUAUGACGCUUUUGUUUGGCCAUGCACGAUAGUCAUGUGUUUGUAAGACAGCAAUGUGGAUCCUCGCUUUGCUGUGGAGAGGUCACCUUUAGUUCUCAUUAGAGGCAAUAUGACGUCUCAGAGCUAUGUGGAUGACGUUUUGGAACCAUAUCUUGUUCCUUACAUAAGAAGAGAUCUCGAACUAAUUUUUCAACAAAAUAAUAGCCGUCCACAUAUUGCCACGAGUACAUUAAACUCCCUAGAAGCCUCCCAUGUGAAUUUACUGCCUUGGCCACCCAGAUCUGCAACCUUUGCCCAAUCGAACCUGUGUGGGGUAUGAUGGGGCGACGCAAAUUUACAGCACCCUCUAUGGACUCUUAAUAAACUAAGACGUCAGAUUCCGUUCAUCUGGGACAUUGUAAACCAUUUUUCGGGAGUAUUUUAAACAUUUUACGAUGUUAUUAUUAUUUAACUAUUCUCUGGUGUGUAGCCUUACUCUCUU